rnacentral:rRNA from 1 species
GGCAGCAGUGGGGAAUCUUCGGCAAUGGGCGAAAGCCUGACCGGGCAACGCCGCGUGAAUGAUGAAGGCCUUCGGGUUGUAAAAUUCUGUUAUAAGGGAAGAACGACUUUAGUAGGAAAUGGCUAAAGUGUGACGGUACCUUAUGAGAAAGCCACGGCUAACUACGUGCCAGCAGCCGCGGUAAUACGUAGGUGGCAAGCGUUAUCCGGAAUUAUUGGGCGUAAAGAGCGCGCAGGUGGUUGAUUAAGUCUGAUGUGAAAGCCCACGGCUUAACCGUGGAGGGUCAUUGGAAACUGGUCGACUUGAGUGCAGAAGAGGGAAGUGGAAUUCCAUGUGUAGCGGUGAAAUGCGUAGAGAUAUGGAGGAACACCAGUGGCGAAGGCGGCUUCCUGGUCUGUAACUGACACUGAGGCGCGAAAGCGUGGGGAGCAAACAGGAUUAGAUACCCUGGUAGUCCACGCCGUAAACGAUGAGUGCUAGGUGU